rnacentral:rRNA from 1 species
CCUACGAGAGGCAGCAGUGGGGAAUUUUGGACAAUGGGCGCAAGCCUGAUCCAGCAAUGCCGCGUGAGUGAAGAAGGCCUUCGGGUUGUAAAGCUCUUUUGUCAGGGAAGAAACGGUGAGGGCUAAUAUCUCUUGCUAAUGACGGUACCUGAAGAAUAAGCACCGGCUAACUACGUGCCAGCAGCCGCGGUAAUACGUAGGGUGCAAGCGUUAAUCGGAAUUACUGGGCGUAAAGCGUGCGCAGGCGGUUUUGUAAGUCUGUCGUGAAAUCCCCGGGCUCAACCUGGGAAUUGCGAUGGAGACUGCAAGGCUAGAAUCUGGCAGAGGGGGGUAGAAUUCCACGUGUAGCAGUGAAAUGCGUAGAGAUGUGGAGGAACACCGAUGGCGAAGGCAGCCCCCUGGGUCAAGAUUGACGCUCAUGCACGAAAGCGUGGGGAGCAAACAGGAUUAGAUACCCUGGUAGUCCACGCCCUAAACGAUGUCUACUAGUUGUCGGGUUUUAAUUAACUUGGUAACGCAGCUAACGCGUGAAAGUAGACCGCCUGGGGAGUAACGGUCGCAAGAUUAAAACUUAAAUUGAAUUGACGG